UUUCCAACCGUAACUCCAAUCGAGAUGAAACAAGAGACAAUUCAGUCGAGGCUCGAAGGAUGAAGCUAUGAGGGUUUAGAGACGAAGCAAAUUUGAUCGAUCCAACUCGCCAUAUGGGGUUUCCUAGAUUUCACUCUCUUCUCAGUUGGAAUUCUUUAUUUCGUUGCAUGCCAUUCCAUGGCAGGUUCGUAUCUGUCUAUUUGGUGUCGAUCGACAUCUGGUUUAUGUCGUCGAUCGAUACUUUCAACAAAAGAGGUUUCAGCUAGGUUCGAUUGCUCUUGCUCUGGUGCAUCUGCAGGUUGCUGACUGGUCUUCUCUGGUGUCUUUAAACAAACUGAUGUCUAAGAUUGGUUUCGAGUUUCAUUCAAGUGGUCUGCAUCAAUGCUUGGUAAACGCACUC
rnacentral:lncRNA from 1 species